UACGUAGGGGGCAAGCGUUAUCCGGAUUUACUGGGUGUAAAGGGAGCGUAGACGGCGCGGCAAGUCUGAAGUGAAAGGCAGGGGCUUAACCCCUGAACUGCUUUGGAAACUGCCAUGCUAGAGUGCUGGAGAGGUAAGUGGAAUUCCUAGUGUAGCGGUGAAAUGCAUAGAUAUCACACAGAACACCGAUUGCGAAGGCAUCUCACGAAUCCGCGAUUGACGCUGAUGCACGAAAGCGUGGGGAGCAAACAGG
rnacentral:rRNA from 1 species